rnacentral:rRNA from 1 species
GUGCCAGCCGCCGCGGUAACACGGGGGGAACGAGCGUUGUUCGGAUUUACUGGGCGUAAAGGGUGCGUAGGCGGACUGGUAAGUCGGAUGUGAAAUCUCACGGCUCAACUGUGAGUUGCCAUUCGAAACUGCCGGCCUUGAGUACGGGAGAGGAAAGUGGAAUUCCUGGUGUAGCGGUGAAAUGCGUAGAUAUCAGGAGGAACACCGGUGGCGAAGGCGGCUUUCUGGACCGAUACUGACGCUGAGGCACGAAGGCCGGGGGAGCAAACAGGAUUAGAUACCCUGGUAGUCCCGGCGGUAAACGAUGGGCACUAGGUGUCAGGGGUAUCGACCCCCUUGGUGCCGCAGUUAACACAUUAAGUGCCCCGCCUGGGGAGUACGACCGCAAGGUUGAAACUCAAAGGAAUUGACGGGGGCCCGCACAAGCGGUGGAGUAUGUGGUUUAAUUCGACGCAACGCGAAGAACCUUACCUGGGCUUGACAUGCUGUGGACCGGGUUAGAGAUAACCCUUUUCCUUCGGGAACCGCAGUACAGGUGCUGCAUGGCUGUCGUCAGCUCGUGCCGUGAGGUGUUGGGUUAAGUCCCGCAACGAGCGCAACCCCUGUCCUCAGUUGCCAGCGGAUCAUGCCGGGAACUCUGGGGAGACUGCCUCGGUCAACGGGGAGGAAGGUGGGGAUGACGUCAAGUCCUCAUGGUCCUUACGUCCAGGGCUACACACGUACUACAAUGGCCGGUACAGCGGGUCGCAAUACCGCAAGGUGGAGCCAAUCCUCAAAACCGGCCUCAGUUCAGAUUGGAGUCUGCAACUCGACUCCAUGAAGGAGGAAUCGCUAGUAAUCGCGGAUCAGCACGCCGCGGUGAACACGUUCCCGGGCCUUGUACACACCGCCCGUCAAGCCAUGGAAGUUGGGAGUACCCAAAGUCAUCGUCCUAACCCUUCGGGGGUGGCGAUGCCCAAGGUAAACCCGAUGACUGGGGCUAAGUCGUAACAAGGUAACC